UAAUGUUAAAAUUUCUCCCAUCCACUGUUCUUCUUUUUUAAUAGUUUUAAUAUUUUUAAAAUUACAAAUUUUUAGAUGGUUAUUCAUAAUUGCAGGAUGGAACCUGGCUUGAAGAACGUGAAAGAGGGGUGGAAACGAUGGAUUUGCUCUCAUCCAGUGAUCACUAUUCCUUAUACGAAAAUGGAUGGUUCACAGCUUCCCAGAGAGGAAGAUAAAGGACUUGAUGUCAACAAUAAAGAUCAGGUGAAAAAGUUACAAUGAGCACUAAGGAGGUGAUUGUACAUGUUCCAGAAAAAUAAGGAUCCAUUGAGGAUUCCUUGAGAGUUUUGAAAUGGGUAUAAAGGGUUGGGUUUUCAUUGAGUCAUUACUCUGAGUUGUAGUUUUUUCUUGUACAAAAGAGGGUAGAUUAGGUUUUAAUCUUAUUUUGUUAUCAUUAUUUUGUAUGUGACUCAAAUGUAUUAAGUACCUAAUUUCAGGAAUGUAAACAUGUAUUAUAGUUGUAUAGUGUAGUUGUUUAAUGAGGUAUUAUCGAGAAUGUACAAAUGAGCUUUUAUUGUUUUAUAUUAGUUUAAUGGAAAUCAAGUAUUUUAUAAAUUAA